AGCGCAGGUGGGAAUGUAAGUCUUUCUUAAAAGUGCGGGGCUCAACCCCGUGAUGGGAAAGAAACUAUAUUUCUUGAGUGCAGGAGAGGAAAGCGGAAUUCCUAGUGUAGCGGUGAAAUGCGUAGAUAUCGGGAGGAACACCAGUGGCGAAGGCGGCCUACUGGGCUUUAACUGACGCUGAAGCACGAAAGCAUGGGUAGCAAACA
rnacentral:rRNA from 1 species